AUCGCGGUAAGAGAACAAUAUAAGAAAUUAUUCAUCUCUCCUGGUCUCCCUCCUCUAUAACCACAUCUCAAUUGUCCUCUGCUUGACCCACAGCUUCUGGAUUUAUGGGAGGCAUUUCAGUUCGAGAGAAGCCAAGUUUCAGAGUUCCUGCUCAGUAAGCGACAUGCCAUUGUGCCCAAGCUUCAGCAGUUGAUGGCAGCAGCAUUGGCAGAGCUGGAAGGCCUGCUAGUGAAGGCACUGUCUGGUCCCUUUAUGGAUCCUUCCCAAGAACAGAGGAGCACUGAGCAACAGCUUGGUGCCUUGGAGAAUCAGUUCCUGAAUACACUCAGUAACUUCAAUGCCCUAUGCUAUGCUUACCGCUCCUUCACAGGUACUGAUCUUCACCGUCUCCACUUUCACCUUGGGAUGGGCUGUCCAACUAAG
rnacentral:lncRNA from 1 species